rnacentral:rRNA from 1 species
UACAGAGGAUGCAAGCGUUAUCCGGAAUGAUUGGGCGUAAAGCGUCUGUAGGUGGCUUUUUAAGUCCGCCGUCAAAUCCCAGGGCUCAACUCUGGACAGGCGGUGGAAACUACCAAGCUGGAGUACGGUAGGGGCAGAGGGAAUUUCCGGUGGAGCGGUGAAAUGCGUGAGAUAUCGGGAGGAACACCUGUGGCGAAAGCGGCUCACUGGACCAUUACUGACGCUGAUGCUCGAAAGCUAGGUGAGCAAACAGG